rnacentral:rRNA from 1 species
GGGUUUGAUCCUGGCUCAGGAUGAACGCUGGCGGCGUGCUUAACACAUGCAAGUCGAACGAACCUUCGGGUUAGUGGCGGACGGGUGAGUAACGCGUGGGAAUCUGCCCUCAGGAGGGGGAUAACGGUUGGAAACGGCCGCUAAUACCCCAUAUGCCGAGAGGUGAAAUGAAUUUCGCCUGAGGAUGAGCCCGCGUCUGAUUAGCUAGUUGGUGAGGUAAGAGCUCACCAAGGCAUCGAUCAGUAGCUGGUCUGAGAGGAUGAUCAGCCACACUGGGACUGAGACACGGCCCAGACUCCUACGGGAGGCAGCAGUGGGGAAUUUUCCGCAAUGGGCGAAAGCCUGACGGAGCAACGCCGCGUGAGGGAUGAAGGCCUCUGGGCUGUAAACCUCUUUUAUCAAGGAAGAAGAUCUGACGGUACUUGAUGAAUAAGCCACGGCUAAUUCCGUGCCAGCAGCCGCGGUAAUACGGGAGUGGCAAGCGUUAUCCGGAAUUAUUGGGCGUAAAGCGUCCGCAGGCGGCCCUACAAGUCUGCUGUUAAAAAGUGGAGCUUGACUCCAUCAUGGCAGUGGAAACUGUUGGGCUUGAGUGUGGUAGGGGCAGAGGGAAUUCCCGGUGUAGCGGUGAAAUGCGUAGAUAUCGGGAAGAACACCAGUGGCGAAGGCGCUCUGCUGGGCCAUCACUGACGCUCAUGGACGAAAGCCAGGGGAGCGAAAGGGAUUAGAUACCCCUGUAGUCCUGGCCGUAAACGAUGAACACUAGGUGUCGGGGGAAUCGACCCCUCCGGUGUCGUAGCCAACGCGUUAAGUGUUCCGCCUGGGGAGUACGCACGCAAGUGUGAAACUCAAAGGAAUUGACGGGGGCCCGCACAAGCGGUGGAGUAUGUGGUUUAAUUCGAUGCAACGCGAAGAACCUUACCAGGGUUUGACAUCCUGCGAAUCUCUUGGAAACUUGAGAGUGCCUUCGGGAGCGCAGUGACAGGUGGUGCAUGGCUGUCGUCAGCUCGUGUCGUGAGAUGUUGGGUUAAGUCCCGCAACGAGCGCAACCCACGUCUUUAGUUGCCAGCAUUUAGUUGGGCACUCUAGAGAGACCGCCGGUGAUAAACCGGAGGAAGGUGUGGAUGGCGUCAAGUCAUCAUGCCCCUUACAUCCUGGGCUACACACGUACUACAAUGCUACGGACAAAGGGCAGCAAGUUCGCGAGGACAAGCAAAUCCCAUAAACCGUGGCUCAGUUCAGAUCGUAGGCUGCAACUCGCCUACGUGAAGGAGGAAUCGCUAGUAAUCGCAGGUCAGCAUACUGCGGUGAAUACGUUCCCGGGCCUUGUACACACCGCCCGUCACACCAUGGAAGUUGGCCACGCCCGAAGCCGUUACUCCAACCCUUGUGGAGGAGGACGUCGAAGGUGGGGCUGAUGACUGGGGUGAAGUCGUAACAAGGUAGCCG